AUUGAACGCUGGCGGCAGGCCUAACACAUGCAAGUCGAACGAGUGGCGGACGGGUGAGUAAUGUCUGGGAAACUGCCUGAGGGAUGGGGAUCACUCCUGGAAACGGUAUCUAAUACCGCAUACCAUCAGAUGUGCCCAGAUGGGUUUAGCUAGUAGGUGGGGUAUUGGCUCACCUAGGCGACGAUCCCUAGCUGGUCUGAGAGGAUGACCAGCCAGACUGGAACUGAGACACGGUCCAGACGCCUACGGGAGGCAGCAGUGGGGAAUAUUGCACAAUGGGCGCAAGCCUGAUGCAGCCAUGCCGCGUGUGUGAAGAAGGCCUUCGGGUUGUAAAGCACUUUCAGCGGGGAGGCGUUACCCGCAGAAGAAGCACCGGCUAACUCCGUGCCAGCAGCCGCGGUAAUAC
rnacentral:rRNA from 1 species